rnacentral:rRNA from 1 species
UACGUAGGGUGCGAGCGUUGUCCGGAAUUAUUGGGCGUAAAGGGCUCGUAGGCGGUUUGUCGCGUCGGGAGUGAAAACCUCGGGCUUAACUCGGGGCUUGCUUUCGAUACGGGCAGACUGGAGGUAUGCAGGGGAGAACGGAAUUCCUGGUGUAGCGGUGAAAUGCGUAGAUAUCCGGAGGAACACCGGUGGCGAAGGCGGCUUCCUGGACCGACACUGACGCUGAGGCGCGAAAGCUAGGGGAGCAAACGGG